rnacentral:rRNA from 1 species
GACGAACGCUGGCGGCGUGCCUAAUACAUGCAAGUCGAACGCAGUGGGGACGGGUGAGUAACACGUGGGUAACCUCCCCUCAGAGGGGAUAACACUUGGAAACAGGUGCUAAACCGAUACUGAUGGAUGGACCCGCGGUGCAUUAGCUAGUGGGUGAGGUAACGGCUCACCAAGGCCACGAUGCAUAGCCGACCUGAUAGGGUGUUGAUCCACCCUGGGACUUAGACUCGGCCCCGACUCCGACUUAGUUCAUAAGUAUAAGAUCUUCGGCAAUGGACGAAAGUCUGACCGAGCAACGCCGCGUGAGUGAAGAAGGUUUUCGGAUCGUAAAACUCUGUGGUUAGAUAAGCGGUAUCUAACCAGAAAACCACGGCUAACUACGUGCCAGCAGCCGCGGUAAUAC